rnacentral:rRNA from 1 species
AUUGAACGCUAGCGGGAUGCUUUACACAUGCAAGUCGAACGAGUGGCGGACGGGUGAGUAAUAUAUCGGAACGUGCCCAGUAGCAGGGGAUAACUACUCGAAAGAGUGGCUAAUACACAAUACUAUUGGAGCGGCCGAUAUCGGAUUAGCUAGUUGGGGGGGUAAAGGCUCACCAAGGCAACGAUCCUUAGCGGGUUUGAGAGGACGACCAGCCACACUGGUACGGAGACACGGCCCCGAUUCCUACGGGAUGCAGCAGUGUGGUAUGUUGGACAAUGGGGGAAACCCUAAUCCAGCCAUCCCGCGUGUAUGAGAAGGCCUUCGGGUUGUAAAGUACUUUUGGCAGAGAAGCGGUAUCUGCAGAAUAAGCACCGGCUGACUACGUGCCAGCCGCCGCGGUAAUUC